rnacentral:rRNA from 1 species
GCGGCGUGCUAUACAUGCAAGUCGAGCGAAUCGGAGGGAGCUUGCUCCCAAAGAUUAGCGGCGGACGGGUGAGUAACACGUGGGCAACCUGCCUGUAAGACUGGGAUAACUUCGGGAAACCGGAGCUAAUACCGGAUAAUCCUUUUCCUCACAUGAGGGAAAGCUGAAAGACGGUUUCGGCUGUCACUUACAGAUGGGCCCGCGGCGCAUUAGCUAGUUGGUGAGGUAACGGCUCACCAAGGCGACGAUGCGUAGCCGACCUGAGAGGGUGAUCGGCCACACUGGGACUGAGACACGGCCCAGACUCCUACGGGAGGCAGCAGUAGGGAAUCUUCCGCAAUGGACGAAAGUCUGACGGAGCAACGCCGCGUGAGCGAAGAAGGCCUUCGGGUCGUAAAGCUCUGUUGUCAGGGAAGAACAAGUGCCGGAGUAACUGCCGGCACCUUGACGGUACCUGACCAGAAAGCCACGGCUAACUACGUGCCAGCAGCCGCGGUAAUACGUAGGUGGCAAGCGUUGUCCGGAAUUAUUGGGCGUAAAGCGCGCGCAGGCGGUCCUUUAAGUCUGAUGUGAAAGCCCACGGCUCAACCGUGGAGGGUCAUUGGAAACUGGGGGACUUGAGUGCAGAAGAGGAGAGUGGAAUUCCACGUGUAGCGGUGAAAUGCGUAGAGAUGUGGAGGAACACCAGUGGCGAAGGCGACUCUCUGGUCUGUAACUGACGCUGAGGCGCGAAAGCGUGGGGAGCGAACAGGAUUAGAUACCCUGGUAGUCCACGCCGUAAACGAUGAGUGCUAAGUGUUAGAGGGUUUCCGCCCUUUAGUGCUGCAGCAAACGCAUUAAGCACUCCGCCUGGGGAGUACGGCCGCAAGGCUGAAACUCAAAGGAAUUGACGGGGGCCCGCACAAGCGGUGGAGCAUGUGGUUUAAUUCGAAGCAACGCGAAGAACCUUACCAGGUCUUGACAUCCUCUGACAACCCUAGAGAUAGGGCGUUCCCCUUCGGGGGACAGAGUGACAGGUGGUGCAUGAUGUCGUCAGCUCGUGUCGUGAGAUGUGGGUAAGUCCCGCACGAGCGCAACUCUUGAUCUUAGUUGCCAGCAUUCAGUUGGGCAC